GUAAACGAUGUCGGUUCUCGAGAAAAAGGACGCUUUACGAGUAAAAUAAAUUGAUAAACGUCAACAAUAAGUUUCGGUGGGACUGGAUGGAAAGGGAAAUCACGGAUACUGUUGGGAAGAAGGAAGUUACGACUUUGUUCGGCAAUUGUAUUGUCCCGGAAAAGUUUUGUGUACGUGGUUUCAUGAUAAUAUUGACCAUGGAUCACGAGGUUUCAAGGCUUGGGAAGUACAUGCGAAAGGACAAAAAAAUAAACAACUUGAAGCAAGGAAAACAAACUUUUCACUAGCUGGUAUUUUUGGAUGUCAACCGAAAGUGAGCAACCCUUACGGACUUCAUCCUUGACAACUGCCAUCGACAUCGAAAGGAAAGAUCCACCCAAACAACCCACUUCAGUCUGCUCUUAAUAAUGAGAUGAUCAAAGGAGGACAGACCGGCUUCUUUGGAAGGUGACAGUCCAGUCCAAUAACCUUCCAAUGAGUACGCUAUGAUGUCAUAGCUGUUCCAAUGUUGUGGAGUAAGCAGCACCGGACCUCUGUCAUUGCAUGGAACAAGGCACGGCUGGAGCCUCCCAGCUGCACUUGGGCGGAAAGCAGGGUACACCCUGGACGAGUCGCCACCUCAUCGCAGGGCAAACACAGAUGGACAACAUUCACA